rnacentral:tRNA from 1 species
GGAAAGGUGCAGGAGUGGCUUAACUGGCACGCCUGGAAAGCGUGUGUACCUGCAAGGGUACCGAGGGUUCGAAUCCCUCCCUUUCCG